AAUAAUCUUAAAUUUGUUGUUCGUUGUAAUUUGAACGAUACAGAGAAGAUUAGCAUGGCCCCUGCGCAAGGAUGACACGCAAAAUCGUGAAGCGCGCCACAUUUUG